rnacentral:tRNA from 1 species
GCAGGUAUAGUACAGUGGUUAGUACAUCGCGUUGCCAACGCGAGGACGGCAGUUCGAAUCUGCUUACUUGCUCCA